rnacentral:rRNA from 1 species
GAUGAACGCUAGCGGCGCGCCUAAUGCAUGCAAGUCGAACGGUCCAAUCCUAGCUUGCUGGGGUUAGAUAGUGGCAAACGGCUGAGUAAUGCACAGGUGACCUAUCCUCUAGUGGGGAAUAACCCCGAGAAAUCGGGGCUAAUACCGCAUGAAUUCCCCUGAUUGGUAUUGGGGGAGGAAAGCCUACGGGCGCUUGAGGAGGGGCUUGUGUCCUAUCAGGUAGUUGGCAGGGUAAGAGCCUACCAAGCCAGAGACGGGUAGCUGGUCUGAGAGGAUGGUCAGCCAGACGGGGACUGAGACACGGCCCCGACUCCUACGGGAGGCAGCAGCAGGGGAUAUUGCGCAAUGGGCGAAAGCCUGACGCAGCGACGCCGCGUGGGGGAAGAAAGCCUUCGGGUUGUAAACCCCUUUUCUCAGGGAAGAAUAAUGACGGUACCUGAGGAAUAAGCCUCGGCUAACUACGUG